AGCGAACGUUAGCGGCGCGCCUAACACAUGCAAGUCGAACGCGAAAGGGAGCAAUCCUGAGUAAAGUGGCGCACGGGUGCGUAACACGUAGGUAACCUGCCCUGAGGAGGGGGAUAACGUUCCGAAAGAAGCGCUAAUACCGCAUACAGCCACGCAAGUGGGCAAAGGUUGGGAUUCUUCGGAACCAAUCGCUUCAGGAGGGGCCUGCGGCCCAUCAGCUAGUUGGUAAGGUAAAAGCUUACCAAGGCGAAGACGGGUAGCUGGUCUGAGAGGAUGAUCAGCCACACUGGUACUGGAACACGGACCAGACUCCUACGGGAGGCAGCAGUGGGGAAUCUUGGUCAAUGGGCGCAAGCCUGAACCAGCGACGCCGCGUGAGUGAUGAAGGCCUUCGGGUUGUAAAGCUCUGUGGGGAGAGACGAAAGAGCUCGUUCUAAUAGGACGGGUGUUGACGGUAUCUCCUUAGCAAGCACCGGCUAACUCUGUGCCAGCCGCCGCCGUAAAAC
rnacentral:rRNA from 1 species